rnacentral:rRNA from 1 species
AACGAACGCUGGCGGCAGGCUUAAUACAUGCAAGUCGAACGCUGUAGCAAUACAGAGUGGCAAACGGGUGAGUAACGCGUGGGAAUCUACCCAAUACUACGGAAUAGCUCCGGGAAACUGGAAUUAAUACCGUAUGUGCCCUACGGGGGAAAGAUUUAUCGGUAUUGGAUGAGCCCGCGUUGGAUUAGCUAGUUGGUGGGGUAAUGGCCUACCAAGGCGACGAUCCAUAGCUGGUCUGAGAGGAUGAUCAGCCACACUGGGACUGAGACACGGCCCAGACUCCUACGGGAGGCAGCAGUAGGGAAUAUUGGACAAUGGGCGAAAGCCUGAUCCAGCCAUGCCGCGUGGGUGAUGAAGGCCUUAGGGUUGUAAAGCUCUUUCAGUGGGGAAGAUAAUGACGGUACCCACAGAAGAAGCCCCGGCUAACUUCGUGCCAGCCGCCGCAGUAAUAC